GAUGGAAGGUUAUAUACUUAGUGGCGGACGGGUGAGUAACGCGUGGGCAACCUGCCCCGUGCCGGGGGAUACCGCCUGGAAACAGGCGCUAAUACCGCAUAAGCGCAUACAACCGCAUGGGUGUAUGCGGAAAGCUCCGGCGGCACGGGAUGGGCCCGCGCCCGAUUAGCCAGUUGGCGGGGUAACGGCCCACCAAAGCGACGAUCGGUAGCCGGCCUGAGAGGGCGGACGGCCACAUUGGGACUGAGACACGGCCCAAACUCCUACGGGAGGCAGCAGUGGGGAAUAUUGCACAAUGGGGGAAACCCUGAUGCAGCAACGCCGCGUGGGUGAAGGAGCGUUUCGGCGCGUAAAGCCCUGUCAGCGGGGAAGAAGAAAGACGGUACCCGACCAAGAAGCCCCGGCUAACUACGUGCCAGCAGCCGCGGUAAUACGUAGGGGGCGAGCGUUAUCCGGAAUUACUGGGUGUAAAGGGAGCGUAGACGGCGAGGUAAGCCUGAAGUGGAAGCCCGCGGCCCAACCGCGGAACUGCUUUGGGAACUGUUUUGCUGGAGUAUGGGAGGGGUAAGCGGAAUUCCUGGUGUAGCGGUGAAAUGCGUAGAUAUCAGGAGGAACACCGGUGGCGAAGGCGGCUUACUGGACCAUAACUGACGUUGAGGCUCGAAAGCGUGGGGAGCGAACAGGAUUAGAUACCCUGGUAGUCCACGCCGUAAACGAUGAUUACCAGGUGUCGGGUGUCGAAGGACGGCCGGUGCCGCAGCGAACGCAGUAAGUAAUCCACCUGGGGAGUACGUUCGCAAGAAUGAAACUCAAAGGAAUUGACGGGGACCCGCACAAGCGGUGGGAGCAUGUGGUUUAA
rnacentral:rRNA from 1 species